rnacentral:rRNA from 1 species
AGGGUUUGAUCAUGGCUCAGGAUGAACGCUAGCGGCAGGCUUAACACAUGCAAGUCGAGGGGUAUAGUAGCAAUACUAGAGACCGGCGCACGGGUGCGUAACGCGUAUGCAAUCUACCUUUUACAGAGGGAUAGCCCAGAGAAAUUUGGAUUAAUACCUCAUAGUGUUAUAGAAUGGCAUCAUUUUAUAACUAAAGUUCCAACGGUAAAAGAUGAGCAUGCGUCCUAUUAGCUAGAUGGUAAGGUAACGGCUUACCAUGGCUACGAUAGGUAGGGGUCCUGAGAGGGAGAUCCCCCACACUGGUACUGAGACACGGACCAGACUCCUACGGGAGGCAGCAGUGAGGAAUAUUGGACAAUGGGCGCAAGCCUGAUCCAGCCAUGCCGCGUGCAGGAAGAAGCAUCUAUGGUGUGUAAACUGCUUUUGUACAGGAAGAAACAUCCCGACGUGUCGGGACUUGACGGUACUGUAAGAAUAAGGAUCGGCUAACUCCGUGCCAGCCGCCGCGGUAAUAC